GCAAAGUUUCCUUGCUGCCUGAUUGCAAGGGAAGUUAUCUUUACCAGCGUUUCUCAAGUUGCCAUCCUCUUCUAAUUUCUGUUCUCUGUCCAUCAAUAAAACAUGAGCCAUUUAUCUGAAAAAAGAAAGAAGUGUUGCACAAUUGUAUCUAAACUGUCGUGUGGGAAUACUUAUCUGCAGUAGCUCACCUCCCAGAAUGGUCCUUUGCCUCCUUUCUCAUUCAUCUCACAAGCCUUAUGAGCGCGGGAGAUCCCUUCCAUCUACUCCGUGCACCUGUACAUAUAGCAAGCUUUCAGAAGCCUCUGAAAAAUUCUCCAUACAGAAGAUGUUGACAAGGAUCUGCACUGCAUAGAGUAUGUGUAAACAGUGAUGCAAACAGCUGGUGUUACUAGAUAUGGUGAAUUCACAUAAAGAAGCUGGACAUUUGCAAUUUUUUCUAUUCAUAGAGAUUUCCAAUCUGGGAAACAUGUAGGACUGUGGAAUUGUGACUGACACUUCUCUUGGAAUCACUUUGACAUAUCACAAGAUACAAAGCAGCUAUUUGUGACAUCUGUUGGUGAGGGCAGAGCUGAUUAACUGCAAGGCUGGCUACACUGAUGGCAUCAGUCAACAGGCUGUUUUUAAAUGCAGUUGAUGUUUCUCCUCUCUUCCCACCGUCUCAUUUUCAAGAGGAAGGAAGUGCUUUUGGAGGAGCUGAUAUAUUCAAAUCCAGCAGUGAGAUUUCAUCCUGAACGUGGUCUUUUUUCUUGAUGUUCUUUUAUUGUUAAUCUUAAAAUUUUAAUGAGAAGAAAUUUUUUGUUACAGUGAUUACAAAUUAAGUGGGACAAGACGUACGUCUAUGCCAAUCUCACACAGAGUUGUGUUCUGCAGCUUGAUGAGCUUAUGAGGCUGAGUUUAAUGGGCUCUGCUUUCAAUUCACUUGUUCAAGGCGCAGCUUCUAAAUACUAAUCAAGCAUCUCUGAUGGCCCAAAGCAAAAAAAAAAAUUAAAAAGAAAUAAGGAUGGGAAAGGGUGCUGAGGUUGGAAGGAAGGAUCAGAGGGCAAGAAGCUGCAGGUAUUAAGCAUCAGCUAAACAAUUCCUAUUGACUCUGGGCUUCAGUGCGCUAAUAAGAAGGACUGCACGCACUUGUGUCUUUUAACACACAGCAAGACACAAACACAGCUGGGGGACUCAAAGAAGUUGAGAUUUUUGUAAGAUUUCUUCAUUGUUAAACUAUCCUACAAAUGUCUGAGAUAUGACCAGGGGGACUGUAAGAGUCUGUGUGCUAGUUCAGGAGUGUUGCAAUCAAUUUACUUUGCUGUGUUCUAGAGCAGUUUGCUGUUGUAAAAAUAAAUAAGUAAAUAAAUAAAAAGAACCCAAAUGUGAAAAGUAUUCAUGGCUAGAAGACUUUUUUCCCUGAACAAAUAGCAUAGAUAGAAGUCUUGCAGCUUGUCUGACUUAAGUCUCAAUAUACUAGCAGUUAUUUGAGCUAUCAUCUAAUGCAAUUGAUUUGAGUGUAAGUACAUUGUGCAUAAUGGUAUUGUAUUAUUUCGUGUUAUUAAUUAAAUCAUAGCCCAAGUUCUUUUCCAGCCUUAAGAAGUGUUGAACCUGGAUGGUGAAACAUGAAUAUUUGGUACUUACAGAAGACUAUGAUGUUCAUUCAAACUUAUCCUCUGGGAUCUUCUCUACAAAAGUCAUUAACAAUGAAGUUUUUCUAUCCUACCUAAACUUUGCAGCUGAAUAACAGGCAGUCAAAUGUAUCAAUAAAGAGCU